UGGCUCAGAACGAACGCUGGCGGCGUGGAUAAGACAUGCAAGUCGAACGGGACUUCAUUUGGUAGCAAUACCGAGUGAAGUUUAGUGGCGAACGGGUGCGUAACACGUGGGGAAUCUGCCGAGAAGUGGGGGAUAGCUCGUCGAAAGGCGAAUUAAUACCGCAUAUGAUCAGCCAAGACAUCUUGGCGACAUCAAAGCCGGGGCAACCUGGCGCUUCUUGAUGACCCCGCGGCCUAUCAGCUGGUUGGUGAGGUAACGGCCCACCAAGGCUAUGACGGGUAGCUGGUCUGAGAGGACGACCAGUCACACUGGAACUGAGACACGGUCCAGACACCUACGGGUGGCAGCAGUCGAGAAUUUUUCUCAAUGGGGGAAACCCUGAAGGAGCGACGCCGCGUGGAGGAUGAAGGCUUUCGGGUUGUAAACUCCUGUCAUUUGAGAACAAGUGUAGCCAAUUAACUACUGGCUACUUGAUAGUAUCAGAAGAGGAAGGGACGGCUAACUCUGUGCCAGCAGCCGCGGUAAUACAGAGGUCCCAAGCGUUGUUCGGAUUCAUUGGGCGUAAAGGGUGCGUAGGUGGCGCCGUAAGUGGGGUGUGAAAUUUCGAGCUUAACUCCGAAACUGCAUUCCAUACUGCGGUGCUUGAGGACUGGAGAGGAGACUGGAAUUCAUGGUGUAGCAGUGAAAUGCGUAGAGAUCAUGAGAAGACAGUGGCG
rnacentral:rRNA from 1 species